CCUACGGGAGGCAGCAGUGAGGAAUAUUGGUCAAUGGACGAGAGUCUGAACCAGCCAAGUAGCGUGAAGGAUGACUGCCCUAUGGGUUGUAAACUUCUUUUAUAUGGGAAUAAAACGUUCCACGUGUGGGAUUUUGUAUGUACCAUAUGAAUAAGGAUCGGCUAACUCCGUGCCAGCAGCCGCGGUAAUACGGAGGAUCCGAGCGUUAUCCGGAUUUAUUGGGUUUAAAGGGAGCGUAGGUGGAUUGUUAAGUCAGUUGUGAAAGUUUGCGGCUCAACCGUAAAAUUGCAGUUGAAACUGGCAGUCUUGAGUACAGUAGAGGUGGUCGGAAUUCGUGGUGUAGCGGUGAAAUGCUUAGAUAUCACGAAGAACUCCGAUUGCGAAGGCAGUUCACUGGACUGCAACUGACACUGAGGCUCGAAAGUGUGGGUAUCAAACAGGAUUAGAUACCCUUGUAGUC
rnacentral:rRNA from 1 species